AAAAGAGAAAAGAUAGUCAAUAAGUGUGGUCCAGGAGAUAGUGAGCAUUUUAUGAAGUCAACCUCAAGACAGAAGUUUCUAUACUUGCACAGGUAGCUCAUUCUGGCCUCUGCCACAAGAACUCAGUACAAAAAGGAAGAAGUUGGGUUUUUUAUUUGUGAUUUCAAGGGAGCUACUGCGUUAAUGAAAUAAUGUCUGCAGUUCUUUUCCAAUUCUGAGUGUGCUGUGGGAACCAGGGACGAAACAUCAAUGGAGAGCCAACAGGCAGAGGCCACCCACUCCAAACCAACCCGAAAAUUUUCACCUCAGUCUGGUUCAGUAUUAGAGUUGGAGGUGGAACGCCUACCACAGCAUGGCUUUUGCCAAGCGGUGCCAUGUCUGACCCGGGAUUCAAACUGGUGAAUCUCGGGCCACCGAGAAGCGGAACGUGCGAACUUAACCGCUGCGCCACCGGGCUGGCCCCCUCCUUACAUGUUUUAAAUUCUACCCUUCUACCAGAGAUCUUGGUUUAAUCUGGAAGAGAAAUGAUAACUCCACCCUUACCCUCUUUUGAGACCCAUGAGAAAACGUACUGAAACCAAAAUGCAAGUACAGGAGAACUGUGGUGUGACGGUGAAACGAGGCACGGGCCACAGUGUCUCCAGUCAGCUCAGCUUCUGCUCCCAAUCUUGUCAGCAAGUGCUUUGCUGUCAAGAGCUUCAGCCAAAUGUUUAAUGUAAGUGUCCACAGUGAUUAAGCCCAAAGAAAUGGAUUUUAAAAAAACCUCCUUAAAAGCUAUAACUA